CCGAGAACCAGAGAAAAUGGUAUCCUUUUGUUGUUCCCUUACUCCAUCACCAACUGCCAUUUCCAUGCUCAUCUCACACCAAACUUACGUCUCCAUGCUAGACAAAAAUUGUAAUACCAUGAAAGACCUCCAAAAACUCCAUGCCCAACUCAUCAAAACUGGUCUAGCCAAGCAUCCUAUUGCCGCUAGUCGGUUGUUAGCCUUUUGCACCUCUCCGGCUGGUGACAUCAACUAUGCUUACUUAGUCUUUACGCAAAUUCAAAACCCAAAUCUCUUCAUAUGGAAUAAUAUCAUUAGAGGCUUCUCUCAGAGCUCUACUCCGCAAAUUGCAAUCUUUUUAUUCAUUGACAUGUUGCUCACUUCCCCAAUUCAACCUCAAAGACUGACCUUUCCUUCAGUUUUUAAGGCUUAUGCUCAACUUAAUCUUGCCUGUGAAGGAGCUCAACUUCAUGGUAUGGUGAUCAAAAUGGGACUUGAUAAUGAUCCCUUUAUACGAAAUACUAUCUUGCAUAUGUAUGCGAAUUGUGGGUUCAUGAGUGAAGCACGAAAGGUGUUUGAUGGAGUUUUUGAUUUUGAUGUUGUUGCUUGGAAUAUAAUGAUUAUGGCACUUGCUAAAUGUGGAGUAGUUGAUGAGUCAAGAAGGUUAUUUGACAACAUGUUAUUGAGGAAUACGGUUUCUUGGAAUUCAGUGAUUAGUGGUUAUGUGAGGAAUGGUAGAUUCAUUGAGGCAUUGGAGCUUUUUCAUAAAAUGCAAGAAGAUAGGAUUAAGCCUAGUGAGUUUACAAUGGUAAGCUUGUUAAAUGCUUGUGCUUGCUUAGGAGCAAUUAGGCAAGGAGAAUGGAUUCAUGAUUAUAUGGUAAAGAACAAGUUCGAACUAAAUGCUAUUGUUGUUACAGCAAUUAUAGACAUGUACUCCAAGUGUGGAAGCAUUAAUAAAGCUCUUCAAAUGUUUAAGAGUGCACCCAAGAAAGGAUUAUCAUGUUGGAAUUCUACAAUUUUAGGUCUAGCAAUGAAUGGUCAAGACAAUGAAGCAUUCCAAUUAUUUUCAUUGCUUGAGUCUUCAAAUUUGAAACCAGAUCAUGUCAGUUUUAUCGGUGUCUUGACAGCUUGUAAUCAUUCUGGCUUGGUGGAUAAAGCCAAGGAUUAUUUCUUGUUAAUGAAAGAAAGAUAUAAGAUCAAACCAUCAAUAAAACAUUAUAGUUGUAUGGUUGAUGUGCUAGGCCGAGUAGGACUCCUAGAAGAGGCAGAAGAACUCAUAAGAAGUAUGCCUAUGGAUCCAGAUGCCAUCAUAUGGGGAUCUUUACUCUGGUCUUGUUGCAAAUAUGGAAAUAUAGAGAUGGCAAAUCGGGCAGCAAAGCAUUUGAUAGAGUUAGAUCCAAGUGAAACUUCAAGUUUUGUACUGAUGGCUAAUUUCUUUGCUGCCUCUGGUCAUUUUGAGGAAGCAAUAGAGCAAAGGCUUUCAGUAAAAGAAAAGCAGAUAGAGAAAGAACCUGGAUGUAGUUUAAUUGAAGUAAAUGGGGAAGUUCAUGAAUUUGUAGCAGGUGGGAGGCAGCAUCCAAAAUCCAAAGAAAUCUACUAUUUGUUGGAUUUUCUGAAACUGAUAAUAAAAGAAACAGAAUAGAUUCUGAAACUGAUAAUUGUGUGGAAGAACAAUAGUACAAGUUCUUUUCUGCAGAUCAACUAUCUCAAUGAAAAUAUGAUUGUAAAAAUAAAAUGCGCUUGUAUGGUUUCCAUGCUAAAAGCUAUAAAGAUAAUGUUCUUCAGAGAUGUCUAACAAUGCUACUGAACAUCACUGAGACCUGUUAUGAGAAGCUUAUACCAUAGAUUUGCCGUUAAUCAGGUUAGGAUUUUGUCAUGGUUCGUCCCGGUGCCCAUGAGUAUAUCUCAGGGGGCACCAUACAAUUGGUGAGCAAGUUUUGUGGCGCUCCAUAGAGAUCUGAAAUAUCAAGGUGGUGGUGGUGGUGACGGCCAUUUUGGUAAUGCUGAUUCUGCAUGGCAGCAGCAAAUUCAUCCUCAUCCAAUGGCAAACGAUCGUAAGUAGCAUUCAUGAAAGAUGCCGCCAUGAUCACAACGGGGCCAGAUGCAAUGAGUGCUCCAACAACUCCCCCUCCGACAACCUGUCCCUGAGCCCCUGCUAAGUAAAUAGUUAGCCCUGUAAUCCCUGGUGGAGCAGGCGGUGGCAAUAUUGAUCCAUGCAAUGAGUGCUCCAACAACUCCCCCUCCGACAACCUGUCCCUGAGCCCCUGCUAAGUAAAUAGUUAGCCCUGUAAUCCCUGGUGGAGCAGGCGGUGGCAAUAUUGAUCCAAGCAAUGAGAGUAUCUCAAACCGGCCAUGAAGGGUCACAAUGGCCCCGGAUGAAGCUGGUUGUCUUAGAGUGACAUUGGUUACACAGCCACUUCCACUAAGCACGCACACUCCACGCUGUUUCCUCCUUGCAAAGUUAGCUAAACUCUCACUCACAUCACAGCCUGUGCUGACCUCCAUUGCAUGAGCCCUUAGUGCAUUUGCACUAUCUCGAGUGACAAUAAUGGGUGGUUUUGGCUUAUU
rnacentral:misc_RNA from 1 species